UUAGUAACUGCGAGUGAAGAGGGAAAAGCUCAAAUUUAAAAUCUGGCAGCAUUUUGCUGUCCGAGUUGUAACCUAGAGAAGUGUAACCUGUGCUGGACCGUGUAUAAGUUUCCUGGAAUGGAGCAUCACAGAGGGUGAGAAUCCCGUCUUUGACAUGGACUACCAGUGCAUUGUGGUUGUGCUCUCAACGAGUCGAGUUGUUUGGGAAUGCAGCUCUAAAUGGGUGGUAAAUUCCAUCUAAAGCUAAAUAUUGGCGAGAGACCGAUAGCGAACAAGUACCGUGAGGGAAAGAUGAAAAGAACUUUGGAAAGAGAGUUAAACAGUAUGUGAAAUUGUUGAAAGGGAAACGUUUGAAGUCAGUCGCGUUAGCUGGGGAUCAGCCUGACAUUGUUGGGUGCACUUCCUGGUUGACGGGCCAACAUCAGUUUUGACUGCCAGAAAAGGGCCAAGGGAAUGUGGCACCUUUGGGUGUGUUAUAGCCUUUGGUCAUAUAUGGUGGUUGGGACUGAGGAACGCAGUGUGCCGAAAGGCCGGGUUUCGACCACGUUCACACUGAGGAUGUUGGCAUAAUGGCUUUAAGCGACCCGUCUUGAAACACGGACCAAGGAGUCUAACAUGCAUGCGAGUGUUUGGGUGGAAAACCCUUACGCGUAAUGAAAGUGAAAGUUGAGAUCCCUGUCGUGGGGAGCAUCGACGCCCGGACCAGAACUUUUGGGACGGAUCUGCGGUAGAGCACGUAUGUUGGGACCCGAAAGAUGGUGAACUAUGCCUGAAUAGGGUGAAGCCAGAGGAAACUCUGGUGGAGGCUCGUAGCGAUUCUGACGUGCAAAUCGAUCGUCAAAUUUGGGUAUAGGGGCGAAAGAC
rnacentral:rRNA from 1 species